rnacentral:tRNA from 1 species
GUUGUAGCUCAGUGGUAGAGUGCUUACCUAGCAUAGGGUGAGGCACUGGGUUCGAUCCUCAGAACCACA